UACGUAGGGGGCAAGCGUUGUCCGGAAUCAUUGGGCGUAAAGAGCGUGUAGGCGGCCCGGUAAGUCCGCUGUGAAAGUCCAGGGCUCAACCCUGGGAUGCCGGUGGAUACUGUCGGGCUCGAGUCCGGAAGAGGAGUGUGGAAUUCCCGGUGUAGUGGUGAUAUGCGUAGAUAUCGGGAGGAACACCAGUGGCGAAGGCGGCUCUCUGGGCCUUUCCUGACGCUGAGACGCGAAAGCGUGGGGAGCGAACCGG
rnacentral:rRNA from 1 species